rnacentral:rRNA from 1 species
AUUGAACGCUGGCGGCAGGCCUAACACAUGCAAGUCGAGCGAGCGGCGGACGGGUGAAUAAUGUCUGGGAAACUGCCUGAUGGAGGGGGAUAACUACUGGAAACGGUAGCUAAUACCGCAUACCAUCAGAUGUGCCCAGAUGGGUUUAGCUAGGAGGUGGGGUAACGGCUCACCUAGGCGACGAUCCCUAGCUGGUCUGCGAGGAUGACCAGCCAAACUGGAGCUGAGACAAGGUCCAGACUCCGUCGGGAGGCAGCAGUGGGGAAUAUUGCAGAAUGGGCGUAAGCCUGAUGCAGCCAUGCCGCGUGUAUGAAGAAGGCCUUCGGGUUGUAAAGUACUUGCAGCGGGGAGGCGUUACCCGCAGAAGAAGCACCGGCUAAAUCCGUGCCAGCAGCCGCGGUAAUUC